rnacentral:rRNA from 1 species
GCUGGCGGCAUGCCUCAUACAUGCAAGUCGAACGAGGUUUUCGGACCUAGUGGCGCACGGGUGAGUAACAUGUGGGAAUCUACCUGAAGGUUCGGAAUAACUGCGGGAAACUGUAGCUAAUACCGGAUGUGUCUGAAAAGAGAAAGAUUUAUCGCCUUCAGAUGAGCCCGCACUAGAUUAGCUAGUUGGUGAGGUAAUUGCUCCACCAAGGCUACGAUCUAUAGCUGAUUUGAGAGGAUGAUCAGCCACACUGGGACUGAGACACGGCCCAGACUCCUACGGGAGGCAGCAGUAGGGAAUAUUGGACAAUGGGGGAAACCCUGAUCCAGCAAUGCCGCGUGAGUGAAGAAGGCCUUCGGGUUGUAAAACUCUUUCAUCAAUGAUGAUAAUGACAUUAGUUGAAGAAGAAGCUCCGGCUAACUUCGUGCCAGCAGCCGCGGUAAUACGAAGGGGGCUAGCGUUGUUCGGAAUCACUGGGCGUAAAGCGUAUGUAGGCGGAUCAAAAAGUUAGAUGUGAAAUCCCUGGGCUCAACCCAGGAACUGCAUUUAAAACUAGUGAUCUAGAAUUUGGUAGGGGUUAGUAGAAUUUCCAGUGUAGAGGUGAAAUUCGUAGAUAUUGGAAAGAAUACCAGUGGCGAAGGCGACUAACUGGGCCAUUUUUGACGCUGAGAUACGAAAGCGUGGGUAGCAAACAGGAUUAGAUACCCUGGUAGUCCACGCAGUAAACGAUGAGUGCUAGUCGCUGGGACAUUAGUUUCAGUGUCGACGCUAACGCAUUAAGCACUCCGCCUGGGAAGUACGGU